UGACAAUGUCAUGAGUUCAUGACAGUGUCAUGUCACUCUUAUGUAGCUACCUUCAAGUAAAAUGUUACCGA